GAGUUUGAUCGUGGCUCAGAUUGAACGCUGGCGGCAGGCCUAACACAUGCAAGUCGAGCGGUAGAGAGAAGCUUGCUUCUCUUGAGAGCGGCGGACGGGUGAGUAAUGCCUAGGAAUCUGCCUGGUAGUGGGGGAUAACGCUCGGAAACGGACGCUAAUACCGCAUACGUCCUACGGGAGAAAGCAGGGGACCUUCGGGCCUUGCGCUAUCAGAUGAGCCUAGGUCGGAUUAGCUAGUUGGUGAGGUAAUGGCUCACCAAGGCGACGAUCCGUAACUGGUCUGAGAGGAUGAUCAGUCACACUGGAACUGAGACACGGUCCAGACUCCUACGGGAGGCAGCAGUGGGGAAUAUUGGACAAUGGGCGAAAGCCUGAUCCAGCCAUGCCGCGUGUGUGAAGAAGGUCUUCGGAUUGUAAAGUACUUUAAGUUAGGGAGGAAGGGCAGUAAAUUAAUAACUUUGCUGUUUUGACGUUACCGACAGAAUAAG
rnacentral:rRNA from 1 species